UGUAUUUCUACCAGGUUAUAAAUGAGAUUUCUUUAGGGUACAAGACCAAUGAAGUUCAAAUGUGUAUAUUUUAAAGACUCAAUAAGAGAGAGAAUAUAGGCUGGAAAUACAUUAUGAUAAGCUAAGAUAGGUUGGUGGUUCCUCCCACCUCCUUUUUUAAAUUUCCUCUAUAAGGGAAGUGGGAUUUUGUAACAAAAGGAUCAUUUUGUCCAUGUCUGACACUCAAAUUCAAAAACCAUGUUGAAACAAUUAAGUUGUAAUUCUUAUGAUUUCACUAGAAACCUCCUCAUUGGAAGUCACUUAUAGCCCCAUUGGCUGAGAGCUUUCAAAAAAGUAAAAAAAGGUAGUUUUGCUACCUUUGAAUGAUGAUGGUACAAAAUUACACUUCUGUGAGUUAUAUAAGAGUCUGGACCUAAAGCAUGAGCUUUGAUAAGUAUUAAUUUUAUUGGUGUCAGACUUGUAUAACAGUGCAAAGUUGUGUGCAGUUUUUUGUGGUAAAUUUUAGAUACAGGUGGUGAGAACCACUUUUGUAGGUAGUGAAGUGUGUAAGAGAGUUACAGUUUCUUUAACUUUAGUAGUUAUGUUGAAAAUUCUUGCUUAUACCUAACCUGAAGUUCUUACAGGUUAAUCUCAGAGGUAUGGGGAAUAUUCCUCUCUUUGUACAUUGAGUUCUCUAGCUUUGAGGAACAAUCUGUGCUGAAGUGAUUUUAGGGUGUCCUUUCUUGGAAAUAAAGCCUGGUUUAAGUUUUUGAGGUUAAGGGUGGCAUGUGCAUCUGUCCAGAUCCAAAUACAAACUUAUAUCUCUCUCACUUUGUUAUGCUUUCUUUUAGGAAAUGCUGCACUUUCAAGUACCGUAACUUUUGUAGCAAUGUUGCUGGUACAGUUUUGUCAGAUGUAAUCACUUUGGAAAUGCUUUCAAAAGUAAUACAGAGUGCUGUGGAGAAAUCUCAUAUGCUUUUAGAAAUAACGCUGGAACUGGACUGCAAGGAAAACAUUACUUGACUCUGAUCAACGUGCAAUUUUCUGCACCAGAAGACAAGAAGGGAACAGCAGUUGUUAACAAAUAAGCCAUGCCUGUUGCAGCUGAUGUAACUGUGGGGGACCUGCCUGUGAGACAUACAGGUCUAACUCCAGCUGGAAUUGAAGGAUUACAAGGUAAUUUAAAGUUGUCUUGGUUUGGGUGGAAUCAUCAACUGCACAGAAUAUAAAAGCUCAACAACCUAGGUAACAAAUCAGUCAAGAAGAACUGGAGGACAGGUUUCUUCAUGUACAUGAUGAUCACUUCUUACUCAAGCAACAUGCAAAUGAGCAAGAGGAGAAAACCUAAAGCAUUCCUUGCCAAAACCCUUUUAACUAGAAGUUUGGAAUGAAUUUGCAGUAGAAGAAUAUUGAAAAAACUCCAUGUAAACAAAAAACCUGCUUACAGGCAAGUAACAUUCUGUGACAUCCUGAAGUUAUUAGAGAUUUUUUUUUUGUUUCACUUUUGUUCUUUUAAGUAGAAGCUUCUGUCCACAAGUAUACAAAAAAUAAAACAAGUCCCUUUAAACAAAUGAAGUGUGUCCUUAUUUUCAGUUUUCUUUCUGGGCCUUCAAAAAUAGAUUUCCUGUAAACUAGAUACAGGUCUCAAAGAUGUGCAACUGACUUUGUAAAGUCUUGAACUUGUCUCUCUCAUCAAAGCCACCUUUUCUUUCUUUAUAUGCCAAAUUUUUUGCAUUCACUUCUGGGUAUGUUUUCUGUUCAUGCAUGUUACAUCACCCCCAUGUGCCCUCACUGCCUUUUGUUCUAGCUUACCAAUGUUUAUCAGAACUAAAGGAAAUCAAAGGUACAACCUUUGAGAUACCAAAAGCAAAAUUUGUAUCCUUCUAAAGACAGAUGACAGCCAUACCCUCUGUAUCUAAUUAUAUUCUGCAGCUAACUGUUCCUUCUCCAAAGCACACUGGAAAUAUUUGCCAAGUAUAAAAUUGAGUAUGGUAAUAAGAACUAAGUCUCUUUUUCCAGAAUACCUUCUUAAAUAUCUCCACCUAUAUAUUUCAGCCACUUUAGACAUGGAAUAUAUAUUUAAAUCCCAAAAUACUAGAAAUUGUAUAUAAUUGGAAUGGUGCAUAUUAUUAGCAUUCUUUCAAUAGUUGAAUGUUCUGUGGAAUUGUAGCUUUUAUAGUUAGCCCCACCACAUCCCAAAUCUGUAACUUUACUUAACAGCAUGCAGAGGUUCCUAUAUAAGGUCAUGCGUUAAAAAUUACAUUUAAGCACCAUAUGGAGUAAAUAUGUGUCCUCCCUUUACUAACCUUAAAUGAUAAGCCUUAGGAAACUGUUAUUUGUCAGUGCUAUAAAGCAGAUUGCUGCACAGUGGUUUCAAUUAUCUUCAAAGAGUUCUUCACAGGCAGUAAUAGUUAUAUCAAAACCUGAAAUUUAUUAUUCAGGUUCUACGCUGAAGUCUUCACAGUGAUUAUGUUCCUUUCAACAGAAUGCUUUUUAUGCUGACUUUUCACAUUCUUUUUCAUCUUUUUUAUUAUUUUCCCCAGAAUGACCACCAAGUUAAUACAGCUUGCUAAUGAUAAAAAAAGUCUGAACAGGUUGGUGGCGGCCCCAAGUGGCUGGGUCAGGCCUGGAGCUGGAAGAAAGGAUUGUGGAUUGACAAGAUCAAGUUCAUGAGCUUGAGAAACAAAAUGAGAGCCUCCCCCUUCAGCUGACCAGAGCUCCAGAAUCCAGGCCACAGACCUUGUCCAUACAGCUGUGUUCAAUCUUUUAUUAGCAGUGCUCUCAGAAAAGUGAGUAAGGUUGCUGAUAUGCCAGAGCACACAAGGAAAGGUGUAGUUCAGAUUUAUUAAAAACACUGGUUUAUAUCCUAACAAUUGCUUCGCUGUAGCAAGUCCAUACUCUUUUUUGUUCAUCAGUGGGCAAUAAUAGUACCUGUAGGCAGAAAGAUUGUCUUUUCCCCUUGUUCUUGUAUUUAUUUAUAGCAGUCAUGAUAACUUGCUUGCCUUUGAAGUCCUUAUUAUGAGAAUCCACAGUAGUUGGGGUUAAACAAAAGUACAGAUUUGAGAGGACAGUAGCUAGCAGGCAAGUUUUCUAAUAGUUAAAAUCAUUGGACUUCCUUAGUAAAACUUCUCUACAUGUUAAAGGGUUAUAAAAGUAGUAUAUGAAAAAGUUUAGUGUUUUCAUGUUAUAACAAAGUUUCACAUCUGUAGUUUGUUUGCACAUGUUUUUCCUUCUUUAAUUUCAAGGUUUGUUCUAAUCUCUCGAUACAUGUGUGCACAGCGCUGCAGACUUGAAAAAUCUCUCACACGUGUGGACUUUGAAAAGCAAAUAUUACAGUGCAGGCAUCUAUAAUGGUGCUUUUUGCUCUUGAGACUUUCUGCUUAAGGCAGGCUUCCUCUCAGGCCUUUACUUCCUGUAGUUACAUUUGGGAAUCACACUUUAAAGCUUUCAUAUUUUCAUAGGAACAUUAUCAGUUAACCUAUACACUGAACUGAUAAUGUAUUUUCAAAAACCCCCAACAGCUACAGCACUGCUUCAAACCUGAGCCAGUAGAAUUGUCUCCUUAACUUCCAGAAACUAUGGAUCAAGCUGGUGGCCAGUUACACCCUCACACCAGUCUUAAUUUUUAUUACAUUGAUUCAGGUAUAUGAUAACAGCAACAAUUCUCAUAUUUUUGGAUUAAAAAAAUGUGUUUGUUUCUACCAGUUUGCCUUUCCAAUCUAUUUAUAGUGGAAGUUUUGAUGAUUUUCAUACACCUGUGUUUUUACACUUCAUAUCGUUGAUUGGGCAGUUUUAUUCCCAGAAUCAAUUUGUUUGGUUUUUGUCUUAACAAUGCAAAAGUAGGCUGGAAAUAUAAUACAUUUAUUCAGGCCCAGUGCUACCAGAUAGAAGAGGGACUUGGUUCUGGGAAUACAGAUCAAAUGUUGAUAUGACAGAGUGGGAGGGCUUAUCUUGUUAUAAAAACAGAUCCAGAUCUAAGAUGUCCUGUACAGAACUAGGAUUGGGACCAUAUAUAUAUUCUUAAACUGAAGCACACAUGAGUAAUUAAAAAAAAAAAGGCAAAAAAAAGGAAAAGUUGUUCACAGAAUGUCCAGCUCAGAUAACAAUGUUCAGAAAUUUCAUAGAAGUUCUGAUGUGUCUGUCUGUUUUCUGAGGCCUUGUCCAAAUCAGAGGGGAUUCUGGUAAUUUGAGUGCUUUGAAUAUGCAAUUUCUUGAACACUUUUUCUUAAGGUGAAGGCUUAAGAAAAGAAAUCUAGUAACCAAUACUCAGAACUUGAACACAGAAGCAUUGUCUUCCAUAAGCACAGAGAAUACUUUCUAUAAUAUUCAUUAAGCAUAGACUGUUUCAUGUUUUUGCCUUGCAUAUGUGCUUGUCCUGCCCUUUUGAUCAAUUAUGAUAAACCAAACAGACUGAUCUUGGGUUUGUGCCCUCUUUUUUUUAAAGACUGCUGAACUCUUAGAUUGCUCAGUCAAACCUCUCAAAUAAUUUCUAGUGCAGAUCAGAAAACAUGCAGGACACUUACCCAAAAAUAAAAUGCCUGGAAAAAAUCAGGAGAGCUUGGCUGUCUCUAGGAUGUGAAGAGACAAAAAAAAUCCACAAAGAAUAUACCUUACUGUGUCUGCUUUAUGUUUGGCUGUUUUAAAAAUACCAUAGCAAAUUGAUCCAAAAGAACUUCAAUUUAAUUCUUGCAAAAUUUUAGGUAUAAGUUCAUAGCAAACAAUUUAACGUUCAUUGCUACCCAUGAAUGAUUUGGAAUCUAGCAAUAGUAGAAAACGAUUGGCCUUGUAUGAGGGUAGAGUAGCAAAUUAGGUGUAGUUGUGCAGUGCAGCAAAGUCAGCCAAAUAUGCAUGCAGAAUGUGUUCAUAAUAAAGCCUCUAUUAGUUAAGUCUUCUUUCUUUCUUUCUCUUUUUUACUUUAAAAAAAAUACAUGUAAAAUUCUGCAGCUUUACAUGUAUUUUCCCCUUUUUGUUUCAGACUGUUACCUGUGGUGGUGUUAAGGAUCUAGUAUGGCAUGAUCCUGCAGUCCUCACUCGUUUGAUUUCAGUGGAAGUUCUCCUUGAUGAGAAAUAUGUCAUCAGUUCUUUAGCUACCUUUCAAGGGAGGGACCCCGUUAUUAUGUAGCCUAAAGAACUUAAAGACCAACCAUGAUUCUUAGCAAAAGGUGAUGAACUGAAUGAACGGCUUAAAGAGGAGCAGUUAAAAUAGUUCCAUCUUCAAAAUAAAUUGCAAUCAGUAGCUAUUUCAAACAGAGGGACUGAGGAGGUGAGCUUGUGGGCAAGAGCUAGGAUCUUUUACUUUAGGUAGUGCAUACAGAUAAGGGAAAAAGAAGUGUUGGGAUACAUUUCAAUGGAGGAGAUGUGAAUAGACCUUUCAAACAUAUUUGGAAGACUAACCUGGUACUAUAUAUAUUUUUAUCCUAUUCAAAAGAAAAACUUCUGACCAAAAUGCUGUUUGUAUUUCAUAGAACUGUGAUCCAAUACUGAACACCUGAUCCAAUAUUUGAAGUUAAUAUAUUAGACAAUAUUUGAAGUUAAAGCAUAAGACAUCAUGUCAAUUCUGGUAGUAAAAAAGUGGUUUAUUAAUAGAAAAAACCCAUGAUACUUGGUUUAUUGAUCAUGUAUUGCUAGUUUUUAGUAUUCUUUGAACCUGAUUUAAUUAGAGUACAGUGUUACAUUUUAUGCAGCAGUUCAAAUCAGUCACUUCUAUUUCUUGUCUUGUGACUCUGAGAGACUUCUGUCAUCGCUAACAAGUUGUCCAGAUACAGGGCUAAACAUCAGAUAGGGAGUGGUUUCUUCCCCAUUUUCUUCAAUGUAUAAGGAAUAAAAAUGUGAAAACUUACUUGAUUUUUCUUGCAUUUUGUAGCAACUUAAUAUUUAGUUUUGCCACCUGCUUUACCUAUUGUAAAUAAAUGUAUUUUAGAUGAACCAAGUUUACCUCAUAGAUAUUUUCACCAAACAUUUUAAAUGUUGUAAUGCAUAGAGGGUAGAUAUUCUCUGUUUAAGUAUCUCAUGUCUUUAAACCAGAUCCUGCUGUAGUGAGUGUUUUGGAAGCAAGGCUGUGUUGUUGUCACUAAAAAUAUUUUCUAUGCAAAAGCCAUGCCCUAGCUAAUACUGAUAUUCACUUACUAAAAGGGAAUUUAAAAUAGAAUGCUCCAGGUUUUUAUAUUGUUUUGCAUAAGAUGGAAUGCGAUUAGAUACUGUUGACCAACUGCAACUUACUACUCUCAGCUUCAACUAAACAGCAUGGAAAAGACUUUGGGCUAAUGUAAAUCCAUAUGGAUUUAUCUUAUAAAGCUUCUAAGAGACAGUUGUAUUCAAAGAACAAAUAAUAAUAGCCUGACACUGCCCAAAAAUUAUUUGCUAUUUCUGUUCACUCAUUCAUUUUGUGCUGUAAUUUCAUUUUGUGCUGUGCAUUACUUGAAACUUCUCUCUUCAUUUAAUUACAGGAAAGAAUAAACAAUCCAGAAAAAGGAGAACUAUGAUAAGCUGCAUAAGGGAAGUUAGGGUUUCUGCAUACAGAAAAUUUGGUUCAGAUCCUUUUUUAAUAUAUCUUAAUAUACUGUGUGCUGUAAUGUGUGUAUAUAUAUUUUGUGCUUUUGCACACAUGUAACUCUGUUUAGGCUGCUGUUUAUCAUGUGACUGUAUAUGGAAGUUCUCAGGUGCUCUGCUGUAUUUCAUUGGCUCUGUUAAAAAACUUAACAGCUUAAAACUUUUUUUUUUUUUUUUUGCUUAGGAGGUGCAACAGUUGUAUGAUCACAAAAUUUAGAGUUUUGUAUGGAGGAGUUAGUCACUUGUCUCUCACUUAAGUUAAUUGCUGGAGAUUUCUCCAAAAUUCAAUCAUGUCAUAAAUAUUUCUGAUGAUGUUCUUGUUUAUUCUCAAUCAUUUAUUUAGAGAAAUAAUUCUUAUUAAUAAAUCAGCUUAACAAUCUUGGCUUGGAAUUUUCUGUUCUACUUAAAAACAUACUGGGAUGACUUAAAAAGAUAUUUAACAAGAGAAAUUGGAAAAUAAGCUUCCAUUAUAGCUCAUUAUACUAUGUUUCUUUCACUAAAAUGAUCUGUCUUUUCAUAUACUCUCAUUUAAACAUUGAUUCAUCUUUCAUCAUUCCAUGUUAUUAUAUAGGUAUCAAUAAAUUAGAAAGAGAAGGAUUAUAUAACCACUAUUUAAUGGCCAGCUUUUUUGGUUGCCUAUUUGAACAAUGCAAUUUUACUAGAGCUUAUCUGGGCUAGCAGUAGAUAGGCCAGUGUCCACAGGUGCCACUUAAUUAAUAAUUUUUUUCCAAUUUUUAAAUGGAGGCAAAGGUGCAUAAACCCAUUCUUUGCUGAAGUUAUUUUUGGGACAUUUAUUUGACAUUGAUGGAAAUUUUGCCAAAGCCAAGACAGCAGUAGAACUGGAUCUGAAAAGUUUGUAAAGAACAAGUAUGAAUUUGUCAGUUGACUCUUAUUAUUUAGUCAGUAUCCAAGAAAACAAUUCAUUUGUAUAAAAGGUUUGGAAGAAUUGUUUUCAUAUGACCUUGUAAUGCAAAUCUAGCAAUGCUUAAACUCCCUCCAAAGGAAAUGGUGCCAGAUGUGGUUGACCAUUAUAGUUACACAUAUGGCUUCAACUCCAGUGAAAUACAGUAAAUAUGAAAGAAAUUCCACAUGAAUUCAAGUAAAUGUAAUCUUAAAAUUUGAAAGAAGAAAGCAACACACGUGGACUCAAUUCAAACUGACAUAAACAUUAGCAUUAUACAGGUUUAGAUAAAACCUGUCUUCUAAAAUGUUCUUCAUUUAAACAUCUAAAUUCUUAACUACCAUAAUAAUAAUGCUUAAUGUUUUUUUCUGCCAGCACAGUCUUCUAAAAAACUGAACUAAUACCUGGCUGCAUCCUUAUGUGAAGUAAUUGUACCUAAAGCUGAUGACCUCACAUAUAACUGGGUGUUGUGUUCAUUCAAACUUGAAAACAUUUUCAGAAGUGUGGAAACUGACAGCAUUUCUUUUAUUUUGAAGAGAGUUAUGUUUUCCUUAUGGAAGCCAAUCAAACUCUAAGCAAUUACAGAACACACUGUCUCUUCUGUACCUUUGCAAUACUGUGGAGUGGUAGUGGAUUCAGUGCAUUAUAUUGCCUAGAUAUUACCUGCAAAAUUAUAGGAGAGUGAUACAUGUAUUACUGCAGGAUGUAGAAGCUCUGCUUUAGUUCAUGCAUGCUGUGAAAACAGUCACACUAUGAAAUGCUCUAUGCCUAGACAACCAUGUACAUAGGUUACAUACAGUACGAGAAAAAGACAAAGCACAGCAAUAUACAACUUUUUAAUGAGUAAUACAUAUCAGGAAUAUAAACCCAAUAUACUGUAGGGUUUACAAUUCAUGCUAUAAUAUUUUAUUUCUUUAAUCUUAAAGUCAGUCUUCAAAUAUAUGAGAUAAAAAUGCACUCAGGUACUCAGAACUCUCAGUCAGCAUGUAGAGUCUGAACCUAUGUGGGCUGUCCACAUGCGUCCUAUGUGUUCUGCAGCAUCUCUUCCUCCUCUCUUUUUGUGGUCAAGGCUUGUUACAUAGAUCUCUUGAAGAGAUAGGUGAAUAAAAAAAUAGAGAUCAGAAGAUUUCUGAUACACUGAUGUAUGUAAAAUAAAAAGUUUUUUGGCUGAUGAGCAUCACCAAAGAGUGGAGGAACUGACUUUUUUUGUUUACAAAACCCUACAAUUACUGAUUUUUUAUGGAGUACAAAAGUGAAUAAACUGGUUUGUGCUUGGUGAAGUUCAACAUUUUUUCAGUAAUAAGAAUGCAAAUAUAGUAAUAUGAAGACUAUACCACUCACUGUCUAAUUUAUAUGAAAACUAAGCUUUGUCUUUUUGCCUACUGAGAAUUACACUGUAAAUUAUAUAAUGUACUUAACUUAGUUUUAAUCUGAGUAAUGUUUUUGUUGUGGUUGCAGCCAUUCUAGUUCUGUGUCCAUGCAAUCCUUAUUGCACAUAGAUUGGUAGUUUACAAGUAAAUAAUGUGUUACAGGCAAACAAGUUAUUCUAAUUUCUUGGCCCACCUCUGUUUUUUUUCUUUAAAGUAGGAGAACGAUUACUUUAAAUGUGCUUCUUAAUCAGUAUCAGAAUUGUUGUUUUACAGUAUGAGAAAACUGUUGUCACUUUGUGGUCAGCAUUUUUCUUUGAACAGGCAACUGACUUUAUGCUCUGCAUGUUUCACAGAUUUAAAAGGAAUCAGGUGGAUGAUCCCAGUUCUCUACAUUAAGAGGUUUUGUAUGCGGAAAGAAUGGUUUUGUUCGUUGUCAGUUGCUGAGGUUUGGAGUUGUGGAUUAUUCUGGGAUAUGCAUCUGAAUUCCUUUUCUAGUCCCACAAAUGUUGCAUGCUGCCAACUUUUUGACUUUGGAUCUCUAAAUUAAGGCCAGUUCCUUUGCUCAUCCCACAAACUCUUUCAUGUUUUUUAACCGCAGCCUGAGAAAGGCGCCUUGGUUUCAACAGCAGCAGACCAGCAUGUGUUUACUUAAUUCCUAAGACAUGAUGACAGUGGUCUCUGUGCCACUAAAAGCUUUUUUCUUUAUUAUUUUCUGUUGAAGCUGAUUUCUAAAAGUUUUUCGCAUGCCAUAUGUUUUAUUACAGUGUCUUCUGUAUGACCCAUGAACAGCAAUGGAAAUCAAAGGAACAGCACAUGAAACUGCAAAUUGCUAAACUAGAGAUGGCUAUCAAAUCUGAUUUAGCAGACAAAAAUGCAAUCCUUGACAAGAUCAAAGUAGAAAGAGGAAGUUAUUACAUCACUUGGUUUUAUGAAGUCAUGAAUUACACCAGGUGAAACAAUACAGCAGCUGAAUGUAGAAUGCAGAUGAAACAAUUUCCCUGCAGAGGACACUCCACUGUCACUUCCAAACCCAGCAGGUGGUCAGAGGAGUGACUGCAACUAUAGAACUGUAAAAACAGUACUGUCCUCUGAAGUCUGCUCUGAAGUUGACAGUUCACUGAGUGAUUUGUUCAAGAAUACACAAAUUGUUUUGAAUCUCUAAGAAUAGCAUCCAAUCUGUCCUGUAAUAGGUCUUUCAACAGGUUUUUGAUUCACAAGAUGACAGUGCAGUAAUUGGGAAGCUCAAAGGAGCAGUGGAAGCCCUCAUGCGCUGCCCUCAGUCGAGAGGGGAAUGCAAAGAUGACUACGAGGCAUGAAAGGAAGUUUGCCUACAGAAGAGCCUUCUCCCAGUGUAAAUACAUGCUUGAUAGUGCAUCAAAGAUGAGAUCUUUGUAAUUCCUACAGUAUAUUUAAUGUAUAAUUUAUAUGAAAAGGACGCUUGAUUUGUAGUUGUAAAGUUUUGUAUACUUUUCAGUCUGUUUGUUUUUAUAUUUCCCCCCUAAGGCUAAGAAUAUCUCCACAAUGGACAACGUCUUGUAAAUAAUUAAUACCUACAUGAUUGAACGACGUGCUUUAUUUGCAUUUUUAAGAUUUUUUCCUACAUAAAACAGUAAUAAAAAUGCAAGUCAAAAUUUUAAUUUUUAAUAAAAAAACCAUAAGCCUUAGAAAACUGAUUAAAAAUACUUUUAUGUUAUCCCUAAUCACCCCGUUAAAUGGAAUGCCUGUGAUUAGCCUCAUUAAGAAUUUUAUACUGUGAAGAUUUUAUUAAAAGCAAUAUAUGAAAAUUACUUGGAUUAAUGCGUUAAUCUGCCUCUUUAAAAUGCUAAUAUCCAUUUUAUGCACAUUAAAUCUCAGUAUGUGUUUUCUUUGAUGCAUGCAGUUCCUAUCAAUUAAAUAUAAAAAAUUAGGCUAGUUGCAGGACUUAUUAAAUUACUGCACCCUUUUUUAAAUAACUUUUACCCUUCUACUAACAUUAUAAUCAGCUGUUUAUGGUUACCAUAAUUUGAAGUAGGGGGAGGGCAGGCGCAAUCAUUUUCUGUACAGGAGAUGAUUUACUUGCAGCCAACAUUGUCAAAGCACAAAAAGAAGCCAUACAGUAUCAGAUUUUGCUUCACCUACUUUGGGCUUUAGGGAUGGGCAACUGUUUUCAUUUGGGUUUUGUCACUUUUAGAACUUACAUCAAACAUAUACAAUAAAUUGUUGUAUCUGAAUAACUACUGUCUAGUGUGGAAAGUUAAUUUUACAGCUUUUAACCAAUCUCAGUGAAGGGUUUAAUUGAUAUUUUUAAUGGAGCUGUGAAUCAAUGCUGCAAAAGGAUUGUCUCUUGAGAACGAGGAUAUAAUACAUUUCAUUUUUUAAUUUACUUUUUUAUUUGUCAUUUUCUUCAAAGGAUUUUAUAGACUGUGGAUUUCCACUGUUUGCAAACAGGCUAUGUUUCUUCAUAAGCAUAUGUAAAGUAUUCAGAGAGAUAAGUAAUUUAUUAAAAUCUACCUAAUUUGCCGUGAUAUAUUAAAUCUCUGCUUCAGUGAUCACAGACCAUUUCAUUUAGAGAAUUAGGCAUUCCCUCUUUGUGUGAUUAAAGCUCUGGAAAAUGAGUUCUUUGCUCCUAUUUGUGAACAUUCAAAGCCUGCUAAUGGCAAGAAGAUGGAAUAGAUUAUGAGACAAUUCAUUACAGUUCAACAGAAAAAAACCCUGCUAUAAUGCAGAAAUGCAAGUAUGAAUAUCUGCAUAUAGUUUGAACCAUCUGUGCUCUAAUGCCUUCAGUAAUGGCUCUUCGUCUUCAGUAGGCUUUGAAAUGACAUCCAUACAAUAUUAAUUUGUUGAUGUACAUUAUGAGGCCAAUGGAAUGAAUAUAUUCUGACCACAGAAAUCUCUGAAUUCCAGCAUGGUCUGCUGGUUGACUCCAUUUUAGGACUUACCAUCUUCAGUAGGGCUUCUCAUCCAGACUUUGCCAAUCCUCACAGUGUUUCAUUCCUCUGGAACUUUAGGAGACCACAGACAGCUGCAUUCCUAAACCCCUCCAUUCUUCAGUUAAUGGCCAUAUGUUUGUUGUCAUUUGGGCUGGCACUUAGUUCAUCAUUUUGGCCACUAUUUCUAGCUUUUUUUGGCUCUGUGCAUCCAUAUUGUCAAUAAGACUGUUAUUAUACAUUACAAUAAUUUGAAACAGCUAGAUUCAACACUGAGAUUAACUGAGUGGCUUUUUAGAAAUUUAGUUGUGGUAUUCUGUCAGGAGGUUCUUAUUAUUCUUCUAAUACUUUGCAAACCAAACUAAAUAUCCUGCACAUAAACAGAGAAGCAAAUUGUAUUGAGUUUUUGUGUGUGACUGUUUACUGACUUGCAGGAGAACUAUGUUAACUGGUGCUUGUUUUCUUCUGAAAUAAACCAUGUGGUAGAAUUAGAAGAUCAGUGAUGUUCAUCUCACUUAAACAUUUACAGUAACACCCUUAACACUUAAUCUUCGCCAUCUGAAGUUGGAAACUUAGAAACCAAGAGUUCAUAUAUUCAUUAAACACAGAUCUCUUCAGUAAGUUACUGCAAAAUAUUCCAGUUGACAUUUGGUUACAUUGUGUUAACUGCUCUCAGUGACUCCAACAUUAACAUGUAUAAUUUGCCUCAGGUUCCUAGACAUAUUUCUUCGUAAGGCUCACUGUUACUCAGUUUCGGAUUUUAAGAAAAUAAUCCUGAUUUCUAUUCAUGUUUAUUGCUAAAACAGAUACAAUAUCCAGCAAGGAUUUUCCCAACAGAUGGAUUGUAUUAUCUUAUGCAACAUAAACAUAUGAUCAUACCAGAAAGUUUUGUUCUUGCAUUAAGUAGUCUGUAUUUCCAAAAUGCUCUUAAAUCUUAAUUCUAAAUGCUGCAUUGUGCAGGGAAAGUGGAAGAUGUAACCUAGUACUAUUUUGUCUAGAUUUUAGCAAUGAACAGCUUGAAGAAAACAUGCAUCUAUGUAAUCUCUAGGUUAAGGUACAAGGGAGCCAUAUUAAAGCUGGGUACUACCAUGCUUUAAAAUGUUACUCAAUAACAUUCAUUUUUGUGGAACAGAUGAAUUUUUACUGUGGUGUAACUUGGUCACCACCGUGGUUCUGCAUAAGAUGAAAUGACAGUGUCAAAUGAUCAGUUUUGUUAUUAUAUCUUUUCCCAUUUAUUGUUACAGCUUAUAGCUUUAUUGUGAUAACUUCUGGUGUGAUAUGAUAACUGCUGUUCUCCAGGUUCCCAGGAAUGUUGAUCAGGAUGGAAAUUUUUUUUUAGCUCAAAUAAACUUUAUCUGUUUUAAAUGUUGCUUUUAACCUUUUAUAACCUUAACCUAGGGAAAAAAAUUUUAAGAAUAAAUACCUCAUAAACCAGGUAACAGCUCUGUGAAGUCAAUCAGUCUUGCUGUAGUGUAAGUCAAAGCUUAUCUCAUUAUAUGAGUAGAUAUGACAAAAUUUAUAACUUGUUUAGUAUAUCAGUAUUAAAGGUAAUAGUAAUAUUGUCUUAAAAUGCUUCUUAUUAUUUCAAGGCAUAGUGAGACAUUUUCAUAGUUCAAGAAGUCUCCAAACAUAUUAAGACUAAAUAUUAGCUGCCAAAUUUAUUUUUUUUGUUUUGUGUUGGAACUGAGAAAUAAUUAAAAUACAGGUUUAAAAGUGUGCUACAAACCAUAUUUCAAAUUUCAGAGCCAGAGAAGUAUUGC